rnacentral:rRNA from 1 species
UACGGAGGGUGCAAGCGUUGUCCGGAAUCACUGGGUGUAAAGGGUGUGUAGGCGGGCGUGUAAGUCAGGGGUGAAAGCCCACAGCUCAACUGUGGAAUUGCCUUUGAUACUGCACGUCUUGAGUCCCGGAGGGGUCACUGGAAUUCGUGGUGUAGCGGUGAAAUGCGUAGAUAUCACGAGGAACACCGGAGGUGUAGACGGGUGACUGGACGGCGACUGACGCUGAGGCACGAAAGCGUGGGGAGCAAAC